GCGAUAACUAGUGUGAAUUGCAGAAUUCCGUGAAUCAUCGAGUCUUUGAACGCACAUUGCGCCCCCUGGUAUUCCGGGGGGCAUGCCUGUCCGAGCGUCAUUGCUGCCCAUCAAGCACGGCUUGUGUGUUGGGUCGUCGUCCCCUCUCCGGGGGGGACGGGCCCCAAAGGCAGCGGCGGCACCGCGUCCGAUCCUCGAGCGUAUGGGGCUUUGUCACCCGCUCUGUAGGCCCGGCCGGCGCUUGCCGAACGCAAAUCAAUCUUUUUCCAGGUUGACCUCGGAUCAGGUAGGGAUACCCGCUGAACUUAAGC
rnacentral:misc_RNA from 1 species